rnacentral:sRNA from 2 species
UAUUACCGACCCUACCAGUUGCCCCAUCCCUGGGCACGGCUCUCAAGCUAUCGCUUCCGCCUCCCCUGACGU